rnacentral:rRNA from 1 species
AUACGGAGGGUGCGAACGUUAAUCGGAAUUACUGGGCGUAAAGCGCGCGUAGGCGGUUUGUUAAGUGGGAUGUGAAAGCCCCGGGCUCAACCUGGGAAUUGCGUUCCAAACUGGCGAACUAGAGUAUGGUAGAGGAAGGUAGAAUUCCCUGUGUAGCGGUGAAAUGCGUAGAUAUAGGGAGGAAUACCAGUGGCGAAGGCGGCCUUCUGGACCAAUACUGACGCUGAGGUGCGAAAGCGUGGGGAGCAAACAGGAUUAGAAACCCUAGUAGUCC